CAGUGGAUCUCUAUAACAAGUAUUAUGUCUCUUAAACCCUACUUUAGAGGGUGAAAAUAAUCAAACACACAACUUAAUCUACGUUAAUUAUCCAAAAUGCUGAUUCCCCUUUAAACAUUUCAGACUGAUGACAUGAGCGGCUGCUAGCUGUUCCACUGUGUUGAGUAGUGAUUCUGCUCCUUAACUGCAAUUGUCCGCCUUGAAUGUUUCACAGCUGAGAAGAGGGAGGCAUGGAGAGUCUGGAUCACUAAAGCCAACCUGCCAGGCUUGCAAGAGGCAGAGCCAGGAGGAGACCCAGGCAGCCUGACUCCAGAAGCUAUGUUCCUAACUAAAGUCACACUGGGCAACACUGUACUGGGCCACCUUAUUGUCUACAUUUUCAUCCUUGAGGCAGAAAACAAGCGAAGGCUCUUCCAGGCACACAGCUUGUCCAUGCUCAGCCUCCCUUGCAUUUAUGCUAUAAGCAGACUGGUGUGCGUUAUUGGCAGAUCUUCCCAUAGAGCCGUCCCCUCCAAUAGCUGCCUUAGUGCUGUCCACCUGCCACAUAAAGGAGGAGGCCCUAGAAAUGGCAACAUGGAUGAAUGGACAGUCUGUGCACUUCAGAGACUGAAUGGAACCCAGGCCCUUCCAUCUCCACGCCAACCCCAGUCCACAAUGUCUAACCAUCCUGGCCUGUGACCAACGUGAGAAAGAAAUCAUUAUUAUGCUAAGCAGCUGAGAUGUGGGAGUAGGUUACUUUAACUAAUUCAACAGUGUUCCGGUCCUCUACAGCACUGACUGGCAGUUACAAUUUAUUUGUAUGUUAUUCACUUACUGCUGUCUUCUUUGCUCAAUUGUAAGCUCUGUGAGGGCAGCGACCAAAUCUAUUUCAUCUACUACCAUAGCUAAUAGCAAAUGCCCAGCCUGCAGCAAACACCCGGUAAUAUUUGUUAAUGGAAUAUUGGGAGGGCGGGAAAUGAAGGCAACUAAGUGAUCAGGGGUCAUGGUCACAAAGUGCUCCCACUGCCAGUGACAUGGGAACUGUGCUUAAUGAAAUUUAAGUCAAGAAUCAGAAAUGCUAGUGUCUUUAAGUGUAUUCUUAAAUGAAAACUUUAGGUUCAAAGGUUGUAUAUAUUCUUCCCCAAGAGAGGUAUUAAUAUAAAAUUAGAAUGCAGCACCAAAUUAUGUCCCUAGAUCUGGUAAAAGUCUACCCUGCAUGGCUCAUAGAAGGUUUGAACGGAGGGUGGGGUCCUAGAAACCCACACUCAGGUGGGAGGCCCCUGCCCUGUAGGACCACUCUCCUUUAACUGACUUACUGAAAACACACUGAGAAUCCUUUGAAACGGGGCUAUGGUCUCUCCCUGCUAUUAUAGCCUCCCCAAGACGAUACACUAAAUGAAUGGAAAAGAAAAUCUUCCUGAGAACCCACCAUGGACUAGCCACUAAUGUCAUUCACCUAAUUCCCCACAUCAAUCCUCUGGAACAAGUAAUGAAAUAAUCAUAACAAUAAUAACCAGAAAAAUAAUAAUUCUAGUUUCGACCUACUUUCUAUUAUGGACUAGGCAUAGACAAUGUCAUACAUGCUACAGAAUUUACUACAUUUAAUUAUUGCAACACAUCCAGGAAAUAAAUGCCAAGAAAUGUUAAGGUUCUGAGAUUUCACCCUACUUUUAACUAGCAAGUUAGCCUACCACAGUCUUUUGGAUGCUGGCAGAAGAUAUGCAAGCCCUGGGUCAGAGACAAAGUACCAUUUACUAUUCACAGUAAUAGCAAUAACCAGAGUCACAUCAUUUGUGCUGGUUUCUGGGGCCCCAAUUCUCACAGGGUGAUGUGAAGUAGGGCCAGAUAGAUGCUGUACACACUGUGGUUUGCAUUACAAAUGAAGGACCUUGAGUUUAGAAAACCCCAGGAUCUCAUAGGGCCUGCACACAUAUACCUUCCAAGCUCUAACAUGGACGGACAUUAUUUUUAUUUUCCUGGACAGAAAACAAAUCUUUCAUCUGCUCUAUAAGAAGAAACUUGUGUCUUCCACAGUGUUCAUAAUAUAAAUAUCCUUGAAAAAACCAGUCUGGAACAAAAGCUGAAUUAAUUUGUUCACAAAACAUGCAGAAAUGUGUCAGACCCAUGGAGAUUUGUUUCCUAUUUUACGAAUGUGAUAACAGGUCUAGAGCCAUUGAGUAAUUUCCCCAAUUAACUUACCAUGACUGGGAAGAAGAGAAGCAAGGAUUCCAACUCUGGUCUAACUACCUCUAAAAGCCACAUCCCAACUACCAUGCAACAUUUUUUUUCUAGGUUUUCAUGAGCAGGAGACCAGGACUUAAGGAAUUAAAGAUAAAGUCCCCCAAUGCUGAAGGAGAUUGUGAGGAAACUGAGAUUUGAGUCCACACCAUCCAACUCCAGACCUGGUGGUGUUACCACCACACUACAGCUACUGACCAAACAAACACCAGCAUACGUGAGUUUUUGGCAAUGCAGGCAAAGUGAACACAGCCAGGCAAAGUGAACACAGCCAGGAAAGGUGUGGAGAAAAUGGGAGGCACAAUUUACUCAGGUGAGGUGGGAAGGCCCCAUCAGGGUCAAAGGAGAGAGAGAGAGAGACAGAGGCAGAGAGAGAGAAGCUAAGAGGGUGUGACUGGACUUGAGCUUGAAGGUUGGUUUUUACUUUACAGUGUGUAGUUUCUGUGCAGCCAUCUAAUUCACAUGCAGAUUUUCAGUAUUGUGUUUGAUGGACAAAUCUUUUGAGAGCAGACUUACCUCUCCUUUUCAGAUGAGCUUACCCGCUUGCACCAUCCCAUAUUACAAUUGCCCCAGCUACCCAAAAGCUUAGGCAGGAUGGCCAAAACAAACAGAUCUCACCAGUCAUGGGAAUAUAGGCUCCAUCCUUGGAGGUUUGUAGGUGAUGUCUACAGGCUUUAAAAUGAAAUAAGCCAAACCUCCACAUAGGAAAAUGAGAAAAGAAUAUGAAAAGAGAACUCAUUAAAAAAAAAAAAAAAGACAAGACAAGGGAGAAAGGGGAAUGGCUUCUAAACCCAUAAAGAGAAGUGAGGGCCCCUCAGAGUAACUGAAACACAAAUUAAAAUCCCAUGGGGACACCAUUACUCAGCUGUCAGAUUGGCAAAAUCCAACACUUCGACCACUCAGUCACUUUCUUGGGAUGCCAGGAAGCAGACACUCCUUAUGUUGCUACUGUUAUAAAGAGUUACUCAUUGCAGCAUUAUGCAAUGGCAAAAGAUUGGUUACAACCUAGGGGGCAAUGAAAUAACUGAUUAAGUAGAGUCCAUUCAUAUAAUGGAAUACUCUUCAGCUAGUAUUUAAAAAAAAAUGAAGGAGCUCUUUGUGCACUCAUAUGGGAAGAUAACCAAAAUCUAUUAUUAAUGGUAAAAAAAAAAAAAAAGCAAAUGAGUAUAUUAUGCAACAUUUUGUGCAAUAAAUGG